GACGAACGCUGGCGGCGUGCUUAACACAUGCAAGUCGAACGGAAAGGCCCUGCUUUUGUGGGGUGCUCGAGUGGCGAACGGGUGAGUAACACGUGAGUAACCUGCCCUUGACUUUGGGAUAACUUCAGGAAACUGGGGCUAAUACCGGAUAGGAGCUCCCGCUGCAUGGUGGGGGUUGGAAAGUUUCGGCGGUUGGGGAUGGACUCGCGGCUUAUCAGCUUGUUGGUGGGGUAGUGGCUUACCAAGGCUUGGACGGGUAGCCGGCCUGAGCGGGUGACCGGCCACAUUGGGACGGAGAUACGGCCCAGACUCGUACGGGAGGCAGCGGUGGAGAAUAUUGCACAAUGGGCGGAAGCCUGGUGCAGCAACGCCGCGUGCGGGAUGACGGCCUUCGGGUUGUAAACCGCAUUCGCCUGUGACGAAGCGUGAGUGACGGUAAUGGGUAAAGAAGCACCGGCUAACUACGUG
rnacentral:rRNA from 1 species